rnacentral:tRNA from 1 species
GCUGCAGUGGUGGAAUUGGUAGACACGCUAGCUUGAGGGGCUAGUGGGCAUUGCGCUCGUGGAGGUUCAAGUCCUCUCUGCAGCA